CAAGGAGACUCUUCUACAAAUGUCAGUAAAGGACGCCCAACCCCAUAGCUACAGGGGAGGCCGCACCCAGCGAUAGGAUGAUGUCGCCCCGUGAGGAUGCUGUUAGGGGCCACCCAUGUGCUUCUUCCAGGAGUGGCGCUCUGUGUCAACAAUGUUAUGAGCGUGAUCGUUGCCCAGGAGACCCACACAUGUUAUUUUGCAUUUUCUUUGAUUAAAUUUUUGUUUGACAUGUUUGGGGCUGCUGGCUAGACUAACUUUUGAGGUGUUGAAAGGCUAUUAUGAGUUGGCACUGCAAGUAAAAUACCCCACUUUGAAUCAACUGCUAGCUGGUGUCAAAUUGGUUGCAUGAUUGAGUGUCCAAAGUUGGAUGCUACAAGUGAUUUGGUUCAUCUAGAGUCAGCUGCAACAUGAAGAGGUUUAGUAGGUUGCAGCAACAACUAUCCCAUCUUUGACUAACUCGGUGUUUGGCUUCAACAAGCUUUUGGUGUGCAAAGUUGGUGGAGAAUUGAAGCUGAAGGUGGUUGUUUGGAGUGGUGCACACAGAAAACACUUAAAUUGAGAUUAAAUUAUUGUUGCAGGACUUUUGCAAUUGUCUAAAAGAUUGUUGCGUGCCUCAAGUGACUCUAUGUUUUGGUUCGGUGAUUGGUUAUCUAGCAGUUAGCGCACUCCAAAGGUUUGUGCUGAGAAAAUUAGUAGCUUGAGGUGUUGUGGUUGAGACAGUGGAAGAAUAGAGAUGUGCUCUUGAAACUUUUCAAAGCCUAGAGAUUUGUUUGUGCAAAAACAGUUUGGCAUCAUCAAAAGAGCAAUCAGCUCUGUUUAAUUUAAUACAGUGACAACAAUAGUAUAUCUAGUUUUGUUAUAACAACUGCCAAGCUUGAAGAGGUGCCAAGUGGAGCAAACUGGGAACCUUCAUGUAUAUUAAAAUUCUGAUGCACAGGAACUUGCCAUUGGUCCAAUAUAGCACACAAAAUUGGUUGUGUGUCUUGAUAAGAAUUAUUGGCAGAGUUAAAUUACCAUUUGAUUAUGAUAUAGAUACGUAGUAUUUUAAAUUUUUUUUUCAUGAUCA